rnacentral:rRNA from 1 species
UACGUAGGGGGCUAGCGUUAAUCGGAAUUACUGGGCGUAAAGCGUGCGUAGGCGGUUGGGUAAGUCCGAUGUGAAAGCCCCGGGCUCAACCUGGGAAUUGCAUUUGAGACUGCGUAGCUAGGGUGCGGAAGAGGGAAGCGGAAUUUCCGGUGUAGCGGUGAAAUGCGUAGAUAUCGGAAGGAACACCAGUGGCGAAAGCGGCUUCCUGGUCCAGCACCGACGUUCAGGCACGAAAGCGUGGGGAGCAAACAGG